GCCGGGUGCGGUGGCAUGUGCCUGUAAUCCAAGUCACUGGGAGGCUGAGGUUGGUGGAUCAAGUGAGCUGAGGAGCUCUGGGCUGCAGCACGCUAUGUCGAACGGGUGUCCACGCUAAGUUCGGUAUCGAUAUGGUGUUCCUGGGGGAGCCUGGGACCACCAGGUUGUCUAAGGAGGGGUGAACCGGCCCAGGUCGGAAACGAAGCAGGUCAAAUCCCCCGUGCUGUCCAGUAGUGGGAUAAUACCUGUGAGUAGAUGCUGCAGUGCAGCCUUGGCAAAACAUUGAGACCUAGUCUUUU
rnacentral:SRP_RNA from 13 species